GAAUUCUGCAAAUGUUGUGAUGUAUCCUCCCUGUCACUCUUAGGAACAACAAAGAAUGAGAGAAAACAAAGAUCGUUUAUUAUUGAACAUAUAUGAAAAUGAAGUUGGAAAUAAAUCAACUUGAGGAGUUGAGAGACUGAAGAAGCUAAGAAGAGGGAAACAAAAUAAAACACCUGUGAUUUAUAUGGAGUGAUGGAAGAGAAAUCACAAAUCAACAGCAAUGAUGAGGAAGUGGUGGAAGUCCUUAAGCCUCCCCCAAACAUAAAGAUAUUAUUCAUAAAGAAUUUCACAAAAAUUAUUCUAAAUUUCUCUCUUCUUAAAUGUCCUUUCUUCUCUUCUCAAUUUUCCCCCCUUUGGUCUACUCCUUUUGUUUUCUUUUGGUGUGGACACUGCACUAGCUUUAUCUGUGAAUUCUUUCAAUUUCUAUUUCUUUUCCAUCUGCAGUAGUCCAAUGGUGUUUUAUUAAUAAAAUAAAAUUUUACUUACUAAAUUUUGUAAAGUGAAAAGCAGUUAAAGCUGCAAUUUAAGUGAUAAAAAUUAAUUUAUUAACAGAAUUAAAUUUUGAGAAUCAAAU
rnacentral:misc_RNA from 1 species